ensembl:lncRNA
UAUAUAGAAUCUCAGCCAGUACCUGCAAUACACUUGUAAUUCACCUCAACUGAUUAAGAAUGUUUAUGCAAGAGCAGGACAGCAGGGAAUCCAUUUAGGUAAAGUACUUUGAUGAAUAACUGUAUGCUUAAGAUUAAGCUGGUAUCUAAAUGCUUGCUGCAUCCAGACCAAAGAACAUAAUGAGAUAUUUAAUUAUAAUCUUCAGACUAGAAUCUGAGAAAGAAGCAUUUGAUGCAGAAUGAAAGAAAGGGGUUAUUUUUGAUUUUCUCUUUUCCUUCCUCUCCAGCAGCUCAAUUUUAUUCAGUGCAAGUCACCUUGCAGUGCAGGUUGUUCUCUGCAGGGUUUGUGGAAUUGUGAAGCUCAUGCUCUGUAUCCUGAUUAAAAGGCAAUAGGGCCACCCAAAGUUUAAGUUAGGGUAGAAUCUUAUCAGUGGAAGUUAUUUUGACAGAACAGAAGACAAAGAAAUAGAUAAAGGAUUAAGAAGAGAUGAGUGAAAGAAAAAAAAAAAAGAGAAAAGGAAGUGUGUGUCUGUGAAAAAAAGAGAAGAAGAGGGGUAUGUGUGCAUUAAUGGUUAUUUGGGAAGCAAAAUGAUAGUUUGUAAAAGAUCCCAAGAGAAAAUCAUGUUUCUUCAAACCUUCACAGCCAGCAUUUUAGUGAAGGUAAUCAAUGGAGAUUUUCUUCCCUUCUUCCCUUUUUCACUUCUUCCAUUUCUUCCUUCCUUUUUGUGUAAUAUGAAUAAGUUAUUAAUUCUACAGAUGUUUUUAUGAGUUUCUGGGGAAUUAGAAAUGAGCACAGCUUGAAGAACAUUAUAUAUACAUAAUUGCAUGGCUCUGGCAACAAAGAGGGAAUCGUGUUUUGUGUUCAAAAUAAUAUUUUUAUGCCAUAAGAUAUAGAUAAUGAAAAGAAAAAGAAUUAAGAUGAUGAUUUAAUAGCUUUUAAUCCUGGUGAUUGAAUAAGUGAGGUGAUGUCUUGCAAGGCAAAGAAUGACAACAGAAUAUGUUCAAUGUACUUCCUGAAUGGAUGGAGACACUUCAGUCUUUGAUAGCACUUUCAAGUUUGUUUUUCCUGUGUUACUGCAUUAAAUGCCGUAAAGGCAAUUGAAUACCAAAGAGCAUUGUAAUGAAAAAAAAAAAAAAAAAGUAUAAUUUAUCUUGAGAGAGAUGAGAAAAAUUACAUCUUAGUAUAUUACACUGGGUAAAUGCCUAGUAAAAAUGGACUGUAAUAACUGAGACCUCUGUUCAAUGAAAGUCAACAUCAUAGUAACAGGAAAUGCAGAUGAUUCCUGGUUUUCGUUUCUGCAACAUAGGGAUGGACUAUUCUAGAGAGGCUGAAAUAAAAAGUCACUGGCGGAAUGACUCACUGAGGAAUAACUUUGUUGUAAAUGUCAUAUUCCAAUCCUGUCAGAGGUUUAUUAAGUAAAUAAGACCUUGACAAGCAGGAGUGCCAAUGGUAUCAAUAAAACUUUGAAGACAAAUCCUGUAUUUGAGUUGGAAAUAUCCACUAACAAAUGGAUCUUUUUAUUAGCUCAGUUCCCUCAGUGGAAAAUUAUGAAGAGCAGCUUAUGUGCAUGUGUAAGAUCUGUGUAUAUGUUCAUUGUCUCAUAUGCGAUAAGCAUGGUUCCUAAUUUUUCUAUGUUCUCCCACAGCUGGAAGAGAAGGUGGGUGCGUUCAUUCUGCACAUGACUGAGAAAUGUUCUUAGGCUAUCAGUUUUGUCACUAGAGCUCAAUUUUCCAUUUUGUCUCCACAUUUUCAUAGUGUUUUGCCUUUCAUAUGUUGCCAGAGGAGGAUCACAUGUUGUGGAUAGAACUGUAGUUGUAAUCUAAAAUUUUCAAUAUUUUGUUUGAAUUUCAAGAAUUAGCAAAUUCUUAUUCUUAUGAAAUGUUCCUAAGUUUCUGCUUACCUUCAUGCAACAUAUGUUUUGAGGCAUGCUACAUAUAGAUAUAUGUUAAUAAAAACUUGUGUAUUUUUGUUAAUGUUUAUGUAUAAGAUUAUUUAAUGUUUUCUUCUAUUUUAUCCAGGAGAUGUAUAUACAAUUAACCGCAUGGAGUGUUCCAUAUCUCCUCUCAAACAGAUCAAAGAGAGGAUUGAUUUAUGUACAAGUGGCCCACAGGGAAGAAACAGUUGAGGUGUAGUAGCUCUUUGAAGAAAUAUCACAGAAAGCAGAAUUAACAUGGAAACACAGGAGAGUGAGAAUGGCAGCAGGGUAGGGGAUUGUUACAGCUGAAGUAAUCCUUACUUGCAAAUUUCUUCUGCCUUUUGAUCUGUCAGCAAGUCCCUCUUCACAGCAGAUGCAAUUUCCAAUACGUUCGCAGCAACAGAGAUCUCUGCGGAAGUUGAAAAUGAGCAGUACUGACAGUCUAAUGUGUGAAGUUGAAGAGAGAUGUCUUGGAAAUUUGGGGCCCAAAUGGUACAAAGAAAAAGAAAAAUUGAAAAAAUUACAACAAUAUUUAAUUUACAAGUAUCUUUGUGAGUAUGUAAAAUGUAUAGUAAAUAGAGUUUUGGACAAAGGUCUUGGAACUAAGAAAGAUACGUAUUUUCUUUUUAGUAUCAUAGCAAACUACCCACCCAUUAAACUCCCCAGCCUCUGUUUUAAGAAGCUCAAGAGUUUGCCAGAACAUCAGAACACAAAAGAUCUGUAGAAAAUAUAGAUCUGCUAUUAGCAGCAGCAAAAUGCAGUAGGUCUGAUAGAAACUGUGCAAACACCCACACACAUAAAAAUCUGUUUUUGACUUUUACCACUGAUAAUCUUCCUCUCAAAAUCAAGGUGUUAUGUUCACAUCAGUAAAGAACAUCUUUCAUGAUUUGAUGCUCCAGACACAGAGCUGAAGAUGUAGAUUUCUCCUCUUUCUCCCCUCCUAUGUAAUGUUUUUUUCUCUCCUCUUCAUCCUCCAAAAAGAAAAAUGAGGCUUGAUGGAGCGUUUAGUUGUUGCUUUUUUUUUUGGUAGGAACUGUCUGUUAGGGCCAUGGAGAAGAUUGCCCAGGACACCCGAAGGCAUUAUUUUAUGCUAGUCAGCUGCAAGGUAUGGUUUUUAAAGCAUUCAUAAUAAAAAAUCUAAGAGCUGGUCAUUCUCAUUCCAAUUGUGAUCAAUGUAUAGUUGCGUAAUUAUAAAGUAGAAUACAAUUGAAAGUUUAUUUAAAUCACAAAAAAACAGCUUUCUUAAUGGGAAUCACACUGAAACUAGUUCUCAUUCAGAACUGAAUGAAUAAAAUAAAGGAACACUGACACCAUGGCCAAAACCUUCAACUGACUUUACAUUUGAUACAUAUAAAUAAUGUAAAGUUGCCAUAGAAAGCAGUCUGCGGGAUUUCUGAAACAUCAGUUAUUGUCGAGUGCUGAAAAGUACUUCAGGUUUCUUUUUCAUAGGGACCCAAAGCAAAUUCUCGUGGGUUUUUAUCAAAGAAAAGGCAGAAUUACUUCUGAAAUGCUGCUGAAUUCUCAUUAAGUUUGUAAUGCUUGCACAGUAUGCAACAUCUGCACUCUUCCUUUUUCCCCCAAAGAACAAGUACCACAUGCAAGAUGGAAUAUUAAUUGAUUUUUUCUUUUAUGCAUUUUUAGUAAUGCAAGUCACUUGAGGGAAAAACUUAAUUGCAAUGGCACAGCAUCCACAGAUUCUGAAUAGGCAGAGUAUAAUGAAUGAUUAAAUGUGAGGUCUCACUACUACGGUGGAAAAUUGAACAAACCUAAUGAUAUCAAUGGCUCUUUCAUUUUUGCAGAUUUCUAAUGAUUAAAUUAAAAUGGUGAGCCAAAAAUUUCUCCAGCAUAAAAACCACUUAAGAGUUCUUGUUAUAUGGAAGUGAAACAGAAGUUGUGAUUUCCAAACUUUUUGAAGUCCAGUAACCUCCAGAGGGUGUGACACUAGCAGUUGUGCUCCCAGCUACCUUGAAGCUGAUCUAUUUGCUGACAACCUGAGAAACAUGAAGCCCUUUGUCUCCAAAGGUCUCUAAGAUCCAAAGGGGCUUCGCAAUGGGUUUGUUACCAGUGUAGCAGGGGUACAUGCAGAGAAGAAACUCUUCAGUGUUUCUGUGGCUUAAAAAGAAAUCACAGCUCAUGGUGCUAUUUCAGAAACCUGCCCAGUGAUAUCACUGCAAGUCCAGGUGUAAGGAGAUUCCAUAUGGAUGUUAGACCCAUUCAGAGCUCUUUCAUUAUAAACAACAGUUUCUAUGGUCCUAGGAAAAUUUUACACUUGAAAGAACCCACAUUUUUUUCUUCUGGCCAUUUCUCUACCACUGCUUACUCAAAUCAGUGUAGCUGAGGUCAUUUUGUAUUUCUUGUCUGAGGUUGUCAAAUUUAUUUUCAGCCUUGUCAAGUUCAGCCUUUGUUUUUUCCCUCUGUGCUAAGGGGACAUUUAGUAUAAGAGUGCUUCUGUUGGCAUUUCUUCUUCUGUCCCCCUUUUGACAUACUGCUUCUUGUGCCACAUAUUGCUCUGUGACUGCUUCUGGUUCAUUUUAAACCACAGACUGUUUUCUUUCUCUUCUUCAUUGUCUGUCUUACAACCCCUAAUGCAACCUUCAGACUCCCUGCAGAAAAGCAGUUUUUUAUGAUAUUUGGUUUGCAAUUCUUGCUUCAUCUGAUGUGAACCCAAGAAUUUGAUCAGAAUACCUUGAAAAGAAAAUUAUGCAAUUCUACAUCAGGAUUUGGGAAAAGUGUGGUAGCAUCUCUUACCAGUAGUAAAAUGCUCCUGGUGGUACACUCUGUAUCAUAAAAACCAUCUCAUCAGCUCUGAUGGCUUUUGAAAAACAAAAGCCAAGCACAGCAUUAAGGUAGAUUGAAAUAAAAAUAUUUUCAAGUGAUAUACUAUGGAAUGGAGAAUAGAUAAAUCCCACAAGGGCACAAUUUCAUUACUUAUUAAUCCCAUAAUUUACUUAACUUGAUAACUUACCUAUAGUCAGAUAUCUGUUCUUUCACUGAUCAGCAACUCAUGGUUCAGUUUUGUCAUAAUGCAAACCAUUCUGGGGGGCUCACUACCAGGAGUUAAACUGCUAUAGACAAAAUCUAUCAUAGGUAAAAUUUAAAAUGUAUUUAUAUUUUAUUUGUUUAUUUAACUUAUUUUAUAUUGUAUAAAUAUAAAAUACAUAAGUAUAAAACAUAAUAAAUAAAUAUAAAAGCCAAAAGGAAGUAGAAUGUAUAAAAACUAAAUGGAAAUUUGUAGAAAUUUGUUUCAGUGGUAUCAAUCUGAGUAUGGUUUUUAAAACUAUGUCCUCUUGGGAAUUUCAUAUUUUAAGAAUGAAUGUAGGAGCUGCUAAGUCAUUCUGAAAUCAUACUCUCUUUACUGAACAGGUAAAGAAUCAAAAGUCAAGGAACUGGAUUCAAAACACCUCCUUGCUUUUGGCAUAAGCUCUAUGAUAUCAUGUCUGAAGCAGGGCUUAGAGACUGCC